CCUACGGGUGACAGCAGUAGGGAAUAUUGCUCAAUGGGGGAAACCCUGAAGCAGCAACGCCGCGUGGAGGAUGAAGGUUCUCGGAUUGUAAACUCCUUUUGUUAGAGAAGAUAAUGACGGUAUCUAACGAAUAAGCACCGGCUAAAUCCGUGCCAGCAGCCGCGGUAAUACGGAGGGUGCAAGCGUUACUCGGAAUCACUGGGCGUAAAGAGCGCGUAGGCGGGAUAGAAAGUCAGAUGUGAAAUCCUAGGGCUUAACCAUAGAACUGCAAUUGAAACUGUUAUUCUAGAGUAUGGGAGAGGUAGGUGGAAUUCUUGGAGUAGGGGUAAAAUCCGUAGAGAUCAAGAGGAAUACUCAUUGCGAAGGCGACCUGCUAGAACAUAACUGACGCUGAUGCGCGAAAGCGUGGGGAGCAAACAGGAUUAGAUACCCUUGUAGUC
rnacentral:rRNA from 1 species